AAGCUCAAGCCGCCUUGGCUCCUCAAUUCGAUGCUUACAGUAAGGCAAUUGAGGGUUCGGACUGGGAUACGGUAGCCACAUUUUAUCACCCGAAUGGAGUGAUUGUGCAGAAGGGAAAGGAGGCGUUUUAUGGAAAAGAUGCAAUAAAAGCGGAAUUGCUCAAAUUUUCGGAGGCAACCGGCAGAUCAACUUCCUCAUUUUCCAAUCAAAAGUACGAGGGAGCUGGUGACUAUCUGAUUAUCACUGCUGAUUUUUCUUCGGAAACUGAAAAAGCUGGAACUGUUAAAGGAAAAUUUGUGCAGAUUUGGAAGAAAGAAGGAGAUAGACAUUUGAUUUAUCAUGAUGAAUUUGAAGUUAAUCCAUAG
rnacentral:misc_RNA from 1 species